rnacentral:rRNA from 1 species
AAUAUUGGAUAAUGGGGGCAACCCUGAUCCAGCUAUGCCGCGUGUGUGAAGAAGGUCUUCGGAUUGUAAAGCACUUUAAGUUGGGAGGAAGGGCUUCAGGUUAUUACCCUGAAGUUUUGACGUUACUCACAGAACAAGCACCGGCUAACUCUGUGCCAGCAGCCGUGGUAAUACAGAGGGUGCAAGCGUUACGCGGAAUUACUGGGCGUAAAGCGCGCGUAGGUGGUUCAGUAAGAUGGGUGAGAAAUCCCCGGGCUUAACCUGGGAACUGCUUUCAUAACUGCUGAGCUAGAGUACGGUAGGUGGUAGUGGAAUUUCCUGUGUAGCGGUGAGAUGCGUAGAUAUAGGAAGGAACACCAGUGGCGAAGGCGACUACCUGGACUGAUACUGACACUGAGGUGCGAAAGCGUGGGGAGCAAAC